GAUGAACGCUGGCGGCGUGCCUAAUACAUGCAAGUCGAGCGAACGGACGAGAAGCUUGCUUCUCUGAUGUUAGCGGCAGACGGGUGAGUAACACGUGGAUAACCUACCUAUAAGACUGGGAUAACUUCGGGAAACCGGAGCUAAUACCGGAUAAUAUUUUGAACCGCAUGGUUCAAAAGUGAAAGACGGUCUUGCUGUCACUUAUAGAUGGAUCCGCGCUGCAUUAGCUAGUUGGCAAGGUAACGGCUUACCAAGGCAACGAUGCAUAGCCGACCUGAGAGGGUGAUCGGCCACACUGGAACUGAGACACGGUCCAGACUCCUACGGGAGGCAGCAGUAGGGAAUCUUCCGCAAUGGGCGAAAGCCUGACGGAGCAACGCCGCGUGAGUGAUGAAGGUCUUCGGAUCGUAAAACUCUGUUAUUAGGGAAGAACAUAUGUGUAAGUAACUGUGCACAUCUUGACGGUACCUAAUCAGAAAGCCACGGCUAACUACGUG
rnacentral:rRNA from 1 species